UAAAAAGAGGUGAGGAAACUGGGGAAGCAACUGGCACGGGUAGAUCAGUCGCAUGCAGUCUUCAGCCUACAUAGGCAACACAUGCAGAACCGCCUUUAUGCUCUUAAAAACCUCCGCACGGAUGUAAAGGUCGUGUAAACAGGGUCUGGGGUUUAAAGCGCUCCUGCACACAGAACACAAUGGUAAUUGACGUUACAGUUUAUGACCACAUUCCUGGCUGGUUGGAUGGAAACCAAUACAUAAGCCUCAUAAAUAAUGGACAAGUAUAAAUGCAUAUGGCAAGAAAAUUAAAGGUUCUCUGUCUUAUGCCUCUGACAGAGCUGACCCUGCACCGUCUAUAAGAAUAAUCUUCAAGGACUUGGUGAGACGUGCCAUUUUCAUCCAGUCAUGGCUACAGCACCUGUCUACUGCAACAAUCAAAAUGGUGGAGAUCUGAUGAUUAAGUUUUCAAAGUAGAUCUGGGAAGAUAGAUCUGAAAAUACUCUGGCUCGUGGUUUGCACACAGAGGAGUACGAUUCCAAAAACCUACCACUACCAGUUCCAUUUAAGAUCCUAACAUUUUAUGAGUGAAUUUUCCAGGUUUACAUUCAGCUAUUAAUAGAAGGCUGACAUUUGCGCACCCUCUUUGAGAGCGAUGGGCAUACUCCACUCUGGUGUGUACCACUUUCUCUAAUCACCAAGGACACACUUCCCUCCGGGGGAAUGAUUAGCUCUCUGGUCAUGCAAUAUAAAGCAACUUUGAUAAGCAAUUAAAUUAUUCCCAUUGCCUCGGCCUCUUCUCUUCCUUUCUUUUCUUUGUCUUUUGCAUCAGUUUCUUUGAAACUCACUGACUUGAGGGUUAUUUGAGUGGCUAAACAGUGGUCACACACCAGCCUAAUACAAUAUUAGUUUUGUUUAGUUGUAGUUUAGUUUAGGUUUAGUUUUGUUUUUGUUUUAACGUCCUAUUUGAGGAUAAAAACGGUUACCUCCAUGUUUCUUGUGUACUGCAAACAAUAUGGCCAUUUAGGUGUAAAAACAGUGUCCGAAGAAAUGUUGGACAUAUGGAUAUAAACUUCAUAUGUAGUCGAUAUGGCUUUUGUGUGCCUUUUUGCUGCUUGUAGGGAUGAAAAGUGAACUACAACUAUUCUAAUUACAGUACCAGAGUAACUACUCAGCAUGAAUGUACUUUUUGAGUUUUUUUUUUUAAGUUUGAACUGUUACCUCUAAUUAAAUACACUUAACAUUAAGUACUAUCCUUCUCUAUUUCUACAUUGCCAUCCAUUACAGAGUACAACUCUAAUGAUAUAUAUUUAUUAUCUGGUCUUCAUAGCUUUUCUCUGCUAAAAGUCUGCCUUGACCAGAGCUGUCUAUUGAUUAGUGGUCUGGGUCUAAUCACCUGGACAGAGAAUGGCAGAAAUAACACACAGAAUAAUAUAAUAGCAGAGUUCAGUGUGUAGAUAAGCACAGAGGGUAUCCAGCAUACAUCAGAUAGAAGCUAUAAAGUUUAACAUAAUUGGACAGGACAAUCACCUGUGGCUGUUAUGAAAGUAUGAUAAUGUAGAAAAUGAUUAAGAUACAGUGA